rfam:Myotis brandtii contig295580, whole genome shotgun sequence.
GAGACACCCUUCUGGGGCAAGACUUGCUUCAGUGGGGCUUUGGUGCUCACUGAGUCUGCCCCCUGAGAGUGUCCCU